AGCUUUGUGCAGUGGCAGUAUCGUAGCCAAUGAGGUUUAUCCGAGGCGCGAUUAUUGCUAAUUGAAACAUUGACGUACAAGCGCUUUUCCAACCGAGUGUUCUCCUACCUUUAGGUAAAUACCCAGGAGUGGAAUUGCUGGAUCCUAUCCUAUGG
ensembl:snRNA U4 U4 spliceosomal RNA